rnacentral:tRNA from 1 species
GGAUGGGUGGCCCAGCGGCGACGGCACCUGACUGUAAAUCAGGGACAUAGAAACACCGUAGGUUCGAGUCCUACCCCAUCCA